CGGUCCUACGGGACGCAGCAGUGAGGAAUAUUGGUCAAUGGGCGGUAGCCUGAACCAGCCAAGUAGCGUGAAGGAUGAAGGUUCUAUGGAUUGUAAACCUCUUUUGCCGGGGAGCAAGGGCCGGGACGCGUCCCGGCCCGGAGAGUACCCGGAGAAAAAGCAUCGGCUAACUCCGUGCCAGCAGCCGCGGUAAUACGAAGGAUGCGAGCGUUAUCCGGAUUUAUUGGGUUUAAAGGGUGCGUAGGCGGGCUUUUAAGUCAGCGGUAAAAAUUCGGGGCUCAACACCGUCCGGCCGUUGAAACUGG
rnacentral:rRNA from 1 species